rnacentral:lncRNA from 1 species
UUGAAUCUUAGAUCUAGGAAACUUUCCCGUCACUUUUUUUGCCCAAAUUCUUGAAGUUCCAACCACUACCACCCCACAAUACUUACAUCAAUGGAUAGAGCUCCUCAAGACCUAGCUAUUGAUGCCAAUUUCACCCUGAAUAUCCGGCGAUCAAAAUCCGGCCUAAUUCCGGCGACCUCCCCGAACACCCUCUUUUGGCAUACCACCAUUUUUUCGGCCACUUGAAUUGCAAAAUGGUAAAAAUCCUAUUAUUUUUCGUGGCUGAUUUUUUAUUUUAUUUUUUAUUUUUUUUCAGAUUUUAUUUUGUUUAUUAUUAAUUAUUUUAGCAUUAGUUUUUGAAGUUUGAAAUGUUAAAUUUUCUGUUUUUGCACUUGUUGAAGUAGUAAAAUAGUUUUGUAUUGAUAAAAGUGAGGUAGUGAAAAAUACUUAAGAGUAUAUGGUACUUGUUAGGUUAUUUAUUUGCUGUUGAAGACUCUUUGAGUACAACACUCAAAAGUCAAACUGUUUGGUAAGAAAAUGUAGAUCUUUGGACAGUGUUUGAAUAAAAGCCUAUCUUUGAAUAGUGGAAGCAGAUUUGUUUGAAAUACUUGACAAGAUUUGAAUCAAAAAGUCUGGCAUUUUGAAUUUAAGAGCAGAUUUAUUAGAAAAAAUCUGUCAAAAAGAUUGAUUUUUAAUUUUUGAAAUAGCUGGUUGUUUUGAUAUAUAGGCGGGACUCCAUCACAUUUGAAAUGGGCAUUAUU